rnacentral:sRNA from 1 species
AGGAAGUCAAGAUGCAAGUACAAAUACAGACCCAGAACAUGAGCCUUUGACUGCUCCUCAGCUCUUGGUCCCAGAUGUCUAUCUAAAUCUGAAGCUUUCCAGUGAAAUGUCAGAGAAACCUUUGUCACCCUCAAUACCUCAUACAGUAACACACUUGGAAUUACCUGUGAGAGAAGAGCCUUCAAAUGAUAAUGUUAUCAAACAGCAAAGCGAUCAUCUAGCAGUUCCAUCGUCUGCAGAGUUACAUUAUAUGGCAGCUUCAGUUACUAAUGCUGUUCCCCCACAUAAUUUUAAGAGUCAAGAAGUAACUCCAGCUUGUCUGGAUGGAAAAAGCUUGAGAGCAGGCAUUACAGAAGUGAAGGAGCCUAGUGUCACCUCACCUACACCAUCAGACAUACACCAGAACAAAGAUCUGCCAAAACCAGAGUUCCGAUUCAAAGGACAGAGCACAAAGUCAGACUCUGCAGAAGAUUAUCUAUUGUGGAAACGGCUGCAAGGUGUCUCUGCAGCUUGCCCUGCACCAAGCUCUGCAGCUCACCAACU